rnacentral:SRP_RNA from 2 species
GCCGGGUGCGGCGGCGUGCACCUAUAAUCCCAGCUACUCGGGAGGCUGAGGCAGGAGGAUUGCUUGAGCCUGGGAGACAGAGGUUGCAGUGAGCUGAGAUCGUGCCACUGCACUCCGGCCUGGCCAACAGAGCGAGACUCUGUCUCAA